rnacentral:rRNA from 1 species
UUCAUGAAGCUGGAAUUGCUAGUAAUCGCGGAUCAGCAUGCCGCGGUGAAUACGUUCCCGGGCCUUGUACACACCGCCCGUCACACCAUGAGAGUCGAUAACACCCGAAGCCUGUAGUCUAACAGCAAUGAGGACGCAGUCGAAGGUGGGAUUGAUAAUUAGGGUGAAGUCGUAACAAGGUACC